rnacentral:tRNA from 1 species
GGUAGUUAGUUUAAUUAGAACAAUUGAUUUCGACUCAUUAGGUUAUGAACCUAUUCAUAAUUACCAU